rnacentral:rRNA from 1 species
GUUUUAUCAAAAACAUUGCUUUUUGUUAAUUGUGUAAAAAGUAUUGCCUGCACCCUGAUUGUGAAUUAAAGAGCUGCGAUAAAUUAAUCGUACAAAGGUAGCAUAAUCAUUUGUUUUUUAAUUGAAGACUAGUAUGAAAGGUACUACGAAUAAUUAUUUGUCUUAGCAUAAAAAUUUGAAUUUGAUUUCUUCAUUAAAAAGUGGAGAUAAGAUUGAAAGACGAGAAGACCCUAUUGAGUUUUAUUUUUAUUAUUUAUUUUUAAUAUCAGUAAGGGUGAAUCGUAAAAAUUUUGCUGGGGCGGUAGAGGAAUAAGAGGAACUUCCUUUUUAUAAAUUAUUUAUUAAUAUAGGUUAAUCCAAUAAGAUUGAAUUAAUAAAAAAUUACCAUAGGGAUAAACAGCGUAAUUUCUUUGUAGAGUUCUUAUCGAUAAGGAAGUUUGCGACCUCGAUGUUGGGUUAGGAUGUCCAUUUAAUGUAAAGGUUAAGUUGUGAUGGUCUGUUCGACCAUUAAAUUCCUACAUGAUCUG